AACGAACGCUGGCGGCAUGCCUAACACAUGCAAGUCGAACGCCCUGGGCAACCAGGGAGUGGCGGACGGGUGAGUAACGCGUGGGGACCUGCCUCGAAGUUCGGAAUAACCGCGGGAAACUGCGGCUAAUACCGGAUGUGGCCUGAGGGCCAAAGGGGAAACUCGCUUCGAGAGGGGCCCGCGUCCGAUUAGCUAGUUGGUGAGGUAACGGCUCACCAAGGCGACGAUCGGUAGCUGGUCUGAGAGGAUGAUCAGCCACACUGGGACUGAGACACGGCCCAGACUCCUACGGGAGGCAGCAGUGGGGAAUAUUGGACAAUGGGGGCAACCCUGAUCCAGCAAUGCCGCGUGAGUGAUGAAGGCCUUCGGGUUGUAAAGCUCUUUUGGCGGGGACGAUGAUGACGGUACCCGCAGAAUAAGCCCCGGCUAACUUCGUGCCAGCCGCCGCCGUAAUAC
rnacentral:rRNA from 1 species